GAUGAACGCUGGCGGCGUGCCUAAUACAUGCAAGUCGAGCGAACAGACGAGGAGCUUGCUCCUCUGACGUUAGCGGCGGACGGGUGAGUAACACGUGGAUAACCUACCUAUAAGACUGGGAUAACUUCGGGAAACCGGAGCUAAUACCGGAUAAUAUAUUGAACCGCAUGGUUCAAUAGUGAAAGACGGUUUUGCUGUCACUUAUAGAUGGAUCCGCGCCGCAUUAGCUAGUUGGUAAGGUAACGGCUUACCAAGGCGACGAUGCGUAGCCGACCUGAGAGGGUGAUCGGCCACACUGGAAGUGAGACACGGUCCAGACUCCUACGGGAGGCAGCAGUAGGGAAUCUUCCGCAAUGGGCGAAAGCCUGACGGAGCAACGCCGCGUGAGUGAUGAAGGUCUUCGGAUCGUAAAACUCUGUUAUUAGGGAAGAACAAAUGUGUAAGUAACUAUGCACGUCUUGACGGUACCUAAUCAGAAAGCCACGGCUAACUACGUG
rnacentral:rRNA from 1 species